AAAUGCAAAUAAUGAAAAAUACAGCCAAUUGGCCCAAUUCUCCUUCUUUCGUUCCUUCAUCACAAAAUUGUUCACUCUCUCCUUACGCUCUCUUUCUCUCUCUCUACCAAUUCUCGGCUAAUAUCACAGAAAAUCAAGAUGGAGUUCUCUCUUAAUUUCUUCAUUAUGUGUGCACCAAAAUCCCUCUUAUCUUACCUCUUUUGUUUUCCCCAAAAGUAUUCUCCUAUUUCACCCAAUUUCUCCAAGCCCUACUUCCUACCCCUAUCAGAGAAUUUUUGAAUUCAAUAAAGGGGAUUCGGAUGAAUUGAUUAUAGGAAAAGAAUUGGGGAUUUGAAAAGAUAAUUUCAGAUUUGGGUUUUAAGGAAAAAUAAAAGUUUGGAGACCUUCGAGAAUGAAUCUCGUCGAUCAGGACCCACCUUUGGAAUAAUUGUGAGUUCGGAUGUACUCGGGUGUUGGUGAUUUCCGGCAGAGGUCGUCGAUGGUGGCCGGAGUCUGGAGUUCAGCUUUUGGCUCUUCAAAUAAUUAAAUGAACGGAGGUGUUAACGGUGGAGUAUUGAUGAUAGAAGGUACCGUUACAAACCUCGAGAAGUUAGCUUCCCAUUGAUGGUGGUGCUCGGCAGUUUUAUUCGUCGGUGGUCGCCGAAAUUUGGUGUGAAAUUCAGCCUGCUCGCCGGAACUCUAAGGGAAAUAAAAUCUGCUACCGUAUCUGUUUUCGGAGCCAAAAUCGAAGGGUUUGGAGUGUGAAUUUGGGAAUCAUUCCUUCUCAAAACUCGUAGAGGACCUCGAAAACUAUGAGUGUGUCAUUCGUGGUUGUGUACCUAAGAAAAUUUCGGUCUAUGAUGUUGCUUUUGGUGCUAACUCGAGCUAUGUUGGCGAAAUUCUGAGAAAUAGUAAACCUUCUGCCGCACCUGUUUUCGCAGUCGAAAUCGAAGGGUUUGGAGUGAGAUUUUCGAACCAGUCUCUUCACAAAACUCGUUGAGGACCGUGAUAAUUAUGUGUGUUGAGUAUAUUUAUGCUCUCAUUCAAGACUUGAGCAUGAUUCGAGAGUAAGGUGUUUUUAUUGCACUUGCAUUAUUUCAGGUGAGGAUCUCUAUUUCUUCACUAUUAUUUAUUGGAAAAAUAGAAUGCACACUGAGAAUAAGAUAUUUUAUUGCUUCUUGAUCACUUAAAUGUGAUAUAUGUUACUUUGAUUCUUGAAUUGUUGAAAAUAAUGAUCGAUUCGAAAUCCUCUUCAUGGAACUUAAUAAGUUCUCAUCUUGAUUCGGGAAUUAUUCGAGUAAUUUCUCAUCCCGAUUCCUUGAUUACUCAAUUGAGUUAUUUUAUCUACCUUGAAUAAUUCAACCAGUUUCAAUUUGUUUCUCUAUCAAUUCGGAAUUGUUUCACAUCUUUACUUGUAUACUAGUUGGAACUACUUCUUCUAUUAUGAUUCUAAAUGAUUUGUUUCUUGUUCAUUGAACGCAAAUCGUUCUUUUCCCGACUCUUGGACCAUUUAGGAUCAUUGUAUUUCGAUAGUGGGCGUCACAAUUUUGUUCUUUGGUACCAUAUAUUUUGUUCUCUCUUUUGUUACUAGAAGAAGCUGGCUUUUUGUUUGACAUAUAUAAAUUUAAACAAAUUAAUACUCUUAUUUUAGAUGGAGCUGACACAGAAUAUAAUAUUAGAUUAUCGGGUGUUACUCACGUUUAUACGAGAUUUAUUUAUCGUGGAUCCAGGUAUACUUAGUAUUAUGUACUUUGAUUGCAUAAUUGGAAUUUCAUAUGAUUUUUUAUUUUCUAAUUGAUUUUUUUUCCCCUUUUUCAGGUUGGACUGUUUGAUGAAGUGAAAGGACGUUAUCGUGGAAGUCAUAUUUGUUGUCGCUUAACAAUUUAUGAAGUGGAAUUUAUUAUGAAAUAAUAAUAGUAAUCUUUUUUUAUUAUUUGGAAUGAUUGAUUUAUUAUUGUAUUUAAUAUGAUAAAUUGAAAUUAUAAUAUUCACAUUUGAUUGAUAAUAUGUAAAUUUGCAAUGUUUAAUUUUAUUUUAAUUUUAUUUUUA